rnacentral:lncRNA from 1 species
GUGUCCCUGUGUGUCCCUGUGUGUCCCUGUGUGACGAGCGCUGCCUGGCAGGGCUGCUGUACGUGGUGGAGAUGGCCUCCAUCCUCGCCCGUUUCCCCAACUCCUCCCUGCUGUGGUCCCACAGCCCCGGCCGCCCCACAGUUGAGCAGGCGGACCCCGAAUACAUCGACGGGUACCGGGGGUACUCCGUGGCCGUGGGAGAGUUCGAUGGCAACCCCGAAACCAAAGAGUUCGUAGUGGGGGUCCCCAAUAAAGGCAACACGAGGGGCGAGGUGAGCGGGCGCUGUGGGGUGGGGGUGUCCUGCAAUGGGGCGGGCGCCCCGUGGGACAUCAGGGACCGACAGCGCUAUGGGGCAGGUGGAGAUCUUCAGCAUGGGGCUGUCGCUGCGCCGGC